GACGAACGCUGGCGGCGUGCUUAACACAUGCAAGUCGAGCGGAGCGGCGAACGGGUGAGUAACGCGGGAAUAACUGCCCCCCUCUCUGGGAUAACAGUUGGAAACGGCUGCCAAUACUGGAUAGUGGGGGAUGACUCGCGUCCGAUGAGCUUGUUGGUGGGGUAGUGGCCGACCAAGGCGACGACGGGUAGCCGGCCUGAUAGGGCGACCGGCCACAUUGGGCUGAGAUAGGGCCCAAUCUCCUACGGGAGGCAGCCGGGGGGAAUAUUGCACAAUGGGGGAAACCCUGAUGCAGAAACGCCGCGUGCGGGAUGACGGCCUUCGUGUUGUAAACCGCUUUCAGCCAUGACGCGGUAGUGGCAGAAGAAGCACCGGCUAACUACGUGCCAGCAGCCGCGGUAAUAC
rnacentral:rRNA from 1 species